rnacentral:tRNA from 1 species
GCCUUGGUGGCACAGUGGUUAAAGCAUUCUGCUGCUAACUGAAAGGCUGGCAGUUCAAACCCACAAGGCG